rnacentral:rRNA from 1 species
UUUUGGACUAUACAAAGGUAUUGUAAUAAGACUUUAAUUGAGUGCUAAAAGAAUGGACUUUCAAAAAAUUACUAUCUUGAAUUUAAAAAUCGAAUUUAUUUUUAUUUGUGAAGAAACAAUAAUUUAGAUUAAGGACAAGAAGACCCUAAGAAUUUUUAAAUUUUAUAUAAGAUCUAGAUCUUAUAUAAAAUUUUUAAUUGGGGCGAUUAUAAAAUAUUAUUAACUUUAAAUUCAGGAAAAUGAUCCAUAAUUAAUGAUUAGAUGUAAAAAAUACUCUAGGGAUAACAGCGUAAUAAUUUUAGAUAGCUCAUAUAGAAAAAAUAGUUUGCGACCUCGAUGUUGGAUUAGGAUACUUUUUUAAUGAAGAAGUUAAAAAAAGAAGUUUGUUCAACUUUUAAAAUCCUACUUGAUCUGGUUCAAGACCCGGA